rnacentral:rRNA from 1 species
UACGAAGGGUGCAAACGUUGCUCGGAAUUAUUGGGCGUAAAGCGCACGUAGGCGGCUUGGCAAGUCGGAUGUGAAAUCCCUCGGCUCAACCAAGGAAGUGCAUCCGAAACUGCCGAGCUUGAGUACUUAAGAGGAUCGCGGAAUUCCCGGUGUAGAGGUGAAAUUCGUAGAUAUCGGGAGGAACACCAGUGGCGAAGGCGGCUCACUGGACCGGUACUGACGCUGAUGCGCGAAAGCGUGGGAGCGAACAG